UACCCGCAGCACAAGUGGUGGUCAUUAUUAUUGGGCCUAAAGCGUCCGUAGCUGGCGUGUUAGAUGCCUGGGUAAAUCGAAGCGCUCAACGUUUCGAAUUCCGGGUAGACCGGCACGCUCGAGACCGGGAGAGGUGUGGGGUACUCGGGGGGUAGGGGUAAAAUCCUGUAAUCCUCCGGGGACGACCAGUGGCGAAGGCGCCACACUAGAACGGCUCUGACAGUGAGGGACGAAGCCCUGGGGCGCAAACCGG
rnacentral:rRNA from 1 species